rnacentral:rRNA from 1 species
GAAACAAGGGCGCAUGGGGGAUGCCUUGGCACAAGAGGGCGAUGAAGGACGCGGGAUCCGUGCGAUACGCCUCGACAAGCUGGAUACAAGCGUUAUGAGUCGGGGAUCUCCGAAUGAGGAAACUCCUCCGGUUUACCGGAGAAUGCAUCUUUAGUAGAUGCGUGGCUAAGUGGGGGAACUGAAACAUCUUAGUACCCUGAGGAAAAGAAAACGAAUGUGAUUCCCUUAGUAGUGGCGAGCGAACAGGGAGCAGCCUAAACCAUACAUACUGUCCAAUUCGUCUUAAAUGCAGCGAUGCGUUUGAGUGUUUUGGUCACCGGCAUGACGGUUAUGUAUGUGUGGGGUAAUAAGACUUUAGUGCUGCGAUCAUGCAAGCAGAAAGCAGUUACAAAAUGUUUGUAUAGGAGAAGUUUCUGGAAAGAAACGCCAUAGAGGGUGAUAGCCCCGUAUCCGAAAUGCAAACAUCUGCUUCUAAAGUUCUUGAGUAGGGCAGUUUACGAGUGAACUGUCUGAAUUUGUCCCGACCAUGGGAUAAGGCUAAAUACCUCUUGUGACCGAUAGUGAACUAGUACCGUGAGGGAAAGGUGAAAAGAACCCCGGGUAGGGGAGUGAAAUAGACCUGAAACCAUGUGCCUACAAUCAGCUAGAGUCUGCGCAAGCAGAUGAUAGCGUGCCUAUUGAAGAAUGAGCCAGCGAGUAUGUUGUGUCGGCGAGGUUAAGACUGCUAAGGUCGAAGCCGAAGGGAAACCGAGUCUGAAUAGGGCGUUUAGUCGAUACAACAAGACCCGAAACUAGGUGAGCUACCCAUGGCCAGGUUGAACCUGCUGGAAACAGCGGGGGAGGACCGAACUAGUUAGCGUUGAAAAGCUAUUGGAUGAGCUGUGGGUAGGGGUAAAAUGCCAAUCGAACCUAGAAAUAGCUGGUUCUCCCCGAAAUAGUUUUAGGACUAGCCUCAGGAAAUUAGAGUUAGGGGUAGAGCUCUGAUCGGGUUCCGGGGUCCUUAGGAUUACCGGACUCUUUCAAACUGCGAAUACUAACUUCUGUAUCCUGGGAGUCAGUGCUUGGGGGCUAAGCUCCAAGUGCGAGAGGGAAACAGCCCAGACUACCAACUAAGGUCCCUAAGUUGUAGCUAAGUGGGAAAGGAAGUAGAUUUUCUAUGACAUCCAGGAGGUUAGCUUAGAAGCAGCUAUCCUUUAAAGAGUGCGUAACAGCUCACUGGCAAAUGAAAAUCUGCGCCAACAAUUCAACGGGGCUAAGCUACACACCGAAGUUGUAGAUUUAGUAGUUUUCUAAACUACUAAAUAGUAGGGGAGCGUACUUGCGACGUUGAAGGUGGUCGGUAACGAUUGCUGGAGUUGCAAGUAGUGAGAAUGCUGGCAUGAGUAGCGAGAGUCUGGUGAAAAUCCAGGCCACCGAAUAUCCAAGGGUUCCACAGCAAUGAUGAUCAACUGUGGGUUAGUCGAUCCUAAGCCGAGUCUGCAAAAAUGCAGGGUAGGCGAUGGACAAGGAGUUAAUAUUCUCCUACCAUAAUAAAGCCGUUUGACUGACGGGGUGACCAAUCUUGAGAGUGUCAGCUCUGGUAGGUCGGAGUGCAAGUGGCAAGUUAGGAGCUAUAGAGAAAUGCUUUAGCUCCGUUUCCUAUUGAUAUGGGAUGAAAACGAGCCACGAUGCAAAGGCUUUGCCUACGGGUGAAGCUAAUUGGCAUAGCUUAAGGUUGCUAGAAAAACCUCGAAAAGGAGGCUUUAUUAUGAUCGUACCGUAAACCGACACAGGUGGAUUGGUAGAGUAUACCAAGGUGGACGGGUUAUUCUCCGUUAAGGAACUCGGCAAAUUGCUGCCGUAACUUCGGGAGAAGGCAGUCCUAUACUUAACUGUAUAGGAGGCACAAAAGAGGUCCGGCCGACUGUUUAUCAAAAACACAGGUUCCUGCUAAAGUCGCAAGACGAUGUAUAGGAGCUGACGCGUGCCCAAUGCUGGUAGUCGAAAGAAGGUCGUGAUAAGCGACUGACCUAAGACCCAGUGAAUGGCGGCUGUAACUAUAACGGUCCUAAGGUAGCGAAAUUCCUUGGCGCUUAAUUGGCGUCCCGCAUGAAACGCGUAACGAGUUGGACACUGUCUUGACGGAGAGCCCGGCGAACAAUGAAAUGGCUGUGAAGAUGCGGCCUACCCGCGCAAGGACAAAAAGACCCCGUGGAGCUUUACUGCAUCCUUGUUUUGAUUUAGGUGCAUACAUGUAUAGAGUAAGAGGGAGACUGUGAAGCUAUGACGCCAGUCAUGGUGGAGUCGACAAUGUAACACCUCUCUUGUAUGUAUUUAAAUCUAACCCUGAUUACGCAUAAGCACCUAGUUAUUGGGUUCUUAUGCGUAAUCGGGGACAGAGCAAGGAGGGCAGUUUAACUGGGACGGUUCCCUUCUAAAGAGUAACGAAGGGGUUCAUAAGGUAUCCUCGGCCCGGAUGGAAAUCGGGCUUAAGAGCACAAAGGUAUAAGGAUGCUUUACUGUCAGACUCACAAGUCGAGCAGUCACGAAAGUGGGACUUAGUGACCCGACAUUCGCAUAUGGGAGCGAUGAAGAUCAUCGGAUAAAAGCUACCCCGGGGAUAACAGGCUAGUGGUGCCCUAGAGUUCAUAUCGACGGCACCGUUCGGCACCUCGAUGUCGGCUCGUCGCAUCCUGGAGGAUGCAGCAUCUUCCAAGGGUUGGGGAGUUCACCCAUUAAAGCGGCACGUGAGCUGGGUUCAAAACGGCGUGAGCCAGUUUGGUCUCUAUCCGGCGCGGGCGUUCGAAGAUUGAAGGGUGUUCUGCUCCUAGUACGCAAGGACCGGAGUGGGUUAGUCCCUAGUGUACCAGUUGUCACACCAGUGGCACAGCUGGGUAGCUACACUAAUAAUGGAUAAGCGCUGAAAGCAUAUAAGUGCGAAGCCAGCCCCAAGAUGAAUCUUCGUCAUCAGACCACCCGCAGUCUACGGGUUUGAUAGGCCACAGGUGUAAGUACAGUAAUGUAUUUAGCCGAGUGGUACUAAUCGGUCGAAUAAUUUU